rnacentral:rRNA from 1 species
UACGUAGGGUGCAGGCGUUAAUCGGAAUUACUGGGCGUAAAGCGUGCGUAGGCGGUUUUCUAAGACAGGUGUGAAAUCCCCGGGCUUAACCUGGGAACUGCGCUUGUUACUGGCAAGCUAGAGUGUGGCAGAGGGGGGUGGAAUUCCAGGUGUAGCAGUGAAAUGCGUAGAUAUCUGGAGGAACACCGAUGGCGAAGGCAGCCCCCUGGGCUAACACUGACGCUCAUGCACGAAAGCGUGGGGAGCAAACAGG